UGAGGAUCUUGCUUCUAGAAUUUCUUUUCUUCUCCAGUAAAUUGAGUGAACUGAAUGGCUCAAUUUUUCUGUAAUAUGAAGACAAAAUUUAUAAAGAGAUAUGCUUUCUAUACUAAAAACAUGCUAACUUUUCUUUUUCAGGAUAAACCAGCACACAAGUCAGUCUGAAAGCUUUUGGCAUUGAUAACACAAAGAACCUAUUAUUUAAUUUGUAUUAAACCCAGAAACUGCAAAAACUCUCGCUGAGGUGCACUGCUAUUUUAUGAGAAAAAUGACUUUUAAAAGCAGAAGAUGAAAAUACUUGCAUUAAUAAUCUUCUUCCAAAGGAUGGAUAGACAGACCCACUCUGAAGGCCCUCAUUAGAGCAAAUGAGGGGAUGAGUGGGCAGCAAAGUUACACAGUGCCAAUUUGGCUUCACCUGAAUGAAAAAUGAAGCUAAAUCUGCUGGGGGAGAGGAGCCUCACACUUUCAGAAAAGAAUUACAUUCAGAAUUUGAUGAGAUAUGCUGCCUCUGGAAUCUGUUAAAUCUGUUAUCAAUAACGACUGCAACUUCCAGCCACAGUUGAGGACUUAAAGCCAUAAAGUACUGCAGUACUGCACAAAAAAAAAAAAAAAAAAAAAAAAAAAAAAAAAAAAAAAAAAAAAGUACUGUAAACACUGAAGUGAGGUUUAUUGAAGAAGUCUUGAUUACCAUGACAGUAAACUCCUCUAACCACAGCUAGUACAGAGAAAGGUAGUUACAGAAUUUAUCGAGUCUUGCUCAAACCAAAUAUAUAUCCACUCUCAGUCCCCAUUUUUAUUUUUCAUCACCCAGAAGAACAUAAUUUUUUGCUUUAUCACAAACCUUCCAUCUGUUUUGUCCUCUAAGUCAUUUGUCACACUCCUCAAGGUCACAGGGGAGUCUCAGUGGGAAAGCAUGUGUGUUGAUUGAUUGGUGCUGUGAUGCCUAUGUGUACCAGGGCUGCAAAAUGAGCUUCUUCCCCCUCUCCCCCUACUUUCUUGCCUCCAAGCAACUAUGUGAUUGAAAGCAGGGAGGGGAAGAAAGGGGGAGGGGGAGAGGGGGGGGGAAGAGGAGAAAGGGGGGUGAGUGUGAAGGGGAGAAAGGGGGGGGUGGGAGGGGGAGGGGACCGCCAUA
rnacentral:lncRNA from 1 species